AGUGAACGCUGGCGGUAGGCCUAACACAUGCAAGUCGAACGGCAGCACAGUAAGAGCUUGCUCUUACGGGUGGCGAGUGGCGGACGAGUGAGGAAUACAUCGGAAUCUACUUUUUCGUGGGGGAUAACGUAGGGAAACUUACGCUAAUACCGCAUACGACCUACGGGUGAAAGCAGGGGAUCUUCGGACCUUGCGCGAUUGAAUGAGCCGAUGUCGGAUUAGCUAGUUGGCGGGGUAAAGGCCCACCAAGGCCACGAUCCGUAGCUGGUCUGAGAGGAUGAUCAGCCACACUGGAACUGAGACACGGUCCAGACUCCUACGGGAGGCAGCAGUGGGGAAUAUUGGACAAUGGGCGCAAGCCUGAUCCAGCCAUGCCGCGUGGGUGAAGAAGGCCUUCGGGUUGUAAAGCCCUUUUGUUGGGAAAGAAAAGCAGCAGGUUAAUACCCCGCUGUUCUGACGGUACUCAAAGAAUAAGCACCGGCUAACUUCGUG
rnacentral:rRNA from 1 species